rnacentral:sRNA from 1 species
UUGCUAUCUGCAAUUUAUAAGAUUCGAACCUGCAGCAGGUCGAGUCGAACGCAGUGAGACAACGGAGCCGUUUACGGCGACGGCCCGAAGGGCGAGCGGAGCGAGUCAUCCUGCACGACCCACCA